CCUACGGGUGGCAGCAGUGGGGAAUAUUGGGCAAUGGACGCAAGCCUGACCCAGCAACGCCGCGUGAAGGAAGAAGGCUUUCGGGUUGUAAACUUCUUUUCUUGGGGACGAAGAAAGUGACGGUCCCCACGGAAUAAGCCACGGCUAACUACGUGCCAGCAGCCGCGGUAAUACGUAGGAGGCAAGCGUUAUCCGGAUGUAUUGGGUGUAAAGGGCGUGUAGGCGGGAUUGCAAGUCAGAUGUGAAAACCACGGGCUCAACCUGUGGCCUGCAGUUGAAACUGUAGGUCUUGAGUGCGGGAGAGGAAACCGGAAUUCAGUGUGUAGCGGUGAAAUGCGUAGAUAUACGGAGGAACACCAGUGGCGAAGGCGGAUUGCUGGACAGUAACUGACGCUGAGGCGCGAAAGCGUGGGGAGCAAACAGGAUUAGAUACCCUAGUAGUC
rnacentral:rRNA from 1 species